rnacentral:rRNA from 1 species
UAACAGAAAGUAGCUUGCUACUUUGCUGACGAGCGGCGGACGGGUGAGUAAUGCUUGGGAACAUGCCUUGAGGUGGGGGACAACAGUUGGAAACGACUGCUAAUACCGCAUAAUGUCUACGGACCAAAGGGGGCUUCGGCUCUCGCCUUUAGAUUGGCCCAAGUGGGAUUAGCUAGUUGGUGAGGUAAUGGCUCACCAAGGCAACGAUCCCUAGCUGGUUUGAGAGGAUGAUCAGCCACACUGGAACUGAGACACGGUCCAGACUCCUACGGGAGGCAGCAGUGGGGAAUAUUGCACAAUGGGCGAAAGCCUGAUGCAGCCAUGCCGCGUGUGUGAAGAAGGCCUUCGGGUUGUAAAGCACUUUCAGUCAGGAGGAAAGGGUGUGAGUUAAUACCUCAUAUCUGUGACGUUACUGACAGAAGAAGCACCGGCUAACUCCGUGCCAGCAGCCGCGGUAAUACGGAGGGUGCGAGCGUUAAUCGGAAUUACUGGGCGUAAAGCGUACGCAGGCGGUUUGUUAAGCGAGAUGUGAAAGCCCCGGGCUCAACCUGGGAACUGCAUUUCGAACUGGCAAACUAGAGUGUGAUAGAGGGUGGUAGAAUUUCAGGUGUAGCGGUGAAAUGCGUAGAGAUCUGAAGGAAUACCGAUGGCGAAGGCAGCCACCUGGGUCAACACUGACGCUCAUGUACGAAAGCGUGGGGAGCAAACGGGAUUA